GCACGAGCUAGACAGGCGUAACCGCGACGGCUCAUUACAACAGCUAUAAUCUACUCGGUCUUGAACAGUUACUCGGAUAACUGUGGUAAUUCUAGAGCUAAUACGUGCACCGAGGCUGCUCCUCGCGGGGCAGUGCAUUUGUUGGAGCAAAACCAGGCGGCUUCGGCCGUUUUUGCUGACUCAGAACAACUCAGCUGAUCGCAUGGGCUUGUCCCGGCGACGUACCGUCCGAGUGUCUGCCUUAUCAACUUUCGAUGGUAGUGUACGUGACUACCAUGGUUGUGACGGGUAACGGAGGAUAAGGGUUCGACUCCGGAGAAGGGGCCUGAGAAAUGGCCACUACGUCUAAGGAUGGCAGCAGGCGCGCAAAUUACCCACUCUCGGUUCGAGGAGGUAGUGACGAAAAAUAACAAGGCUGUUCUCUACGAGGCCAGCCAUUGGAAUGGGUACAACACAAACCCUUUAACGAGUAUCAAUGAGAGGGCAAGUCUGGUGCCAGCAGCCGCGGUAAUUCCAGCUCUCAAAAUGCAUAGAACCAUUGCUGCGGUUAAAAAGCUCGUAGUUGGAUCUGUGCCGGCGACGUGGUCCACCCUAACGGGCGGUACUGCGCUCGUCGGCUUUGGGCCGGUCUUCGUGCGGUGGCCUUCACUGGUCGCCGUCCGUGGCUGGCUGGUUUACUUUGAGCAAAUCAGAGUGCUCAGCACAGGCGUUUCGCCGGAAUGUUCGUGCAUGGAAUAAUAGAAAAGGAUUUCGGUCCUCUUUUAUUGGUUUUGUGGACUGAGAUAAUGGUUAACAGAGACGAACGGGGGCAUUCGUAUUGCUGCGUGAGAGGUGAAAUUCUUGGACCGCAGCAGGACGGACUACAGCGAAAGCAUUUGCCAAGCGCGUCUUCAUUAAUCAAGAACGAAAGUCAGAGGUUCGAAGGCGAUCAGAUACCGCCCUAGUUCUGACCGUAAACGAUGCCAACUAGCGAUCCGACGGCGGCUUUCAGGCCCUGUUGGGGAGCUUCCCGGAAACGAAAGUCUUCCGGUUCCGGGGGAAGUAUGGUUGCAAAGCUGAAACUUAAAGGAAUUGACGGAAGGGCACCACCAGGAGUGGAGCCUGCGGCUUAAUUUGACUCAACACGGGAAAACUCACCCGGCCCGGACACCGUGAGGAUUGACAGAUUGAUAGCUUUUUCAUGAUUCGGUGGUUGGUGGUGCAUGGCCGUUCUUAGUUCGUGGAUCGAUUUGUCUGGUUUAUUCCGAUAACGAGCGAGACUCCAGCCUACUAACUAGUGCGGGCGUUGUCUCUGCGCUUGUCACUUCUUAGAGGGAUUGGCUGCGCCUAGCGGCACGAAACGGAGCAAUAACAGGUCUGUGAUGCCCUUAGAUGUCCGGGGCUGCACGCGCGCUACACUGGCAAAGGCAGCGUGCUUGUCCGCCUCCGAAAGGAGCCGGUAAACCCUUGAAAAUUUGCCGUGAUUGGGAUCGGAAAUUGCAAUUAUUUUCCGUGAACGAGGAAUUCCUAGUAAGUGCGAGUCAUCAGCUCGCGUUGAUUACGUCCCUGCCCUUUGUACACACCGCCCGUCGCUGCCUAGAACUGAGCCAUUUCGAGAAUAUUCGGGAUCGCUGGUUGCGGGCCUUUCGGGGCACGCCUCUGCAAGAGAACGAACGUAAUCGCAUAUCGGC
rnacentral:rRNA from 1 species